rnacentral:rRNA from 1 species
AUUGAACGCUGGCGGCAGGCUUAACACAUGCAAGUCGAGCGGGGAAGGGUAGCUUGCUACCUAACCUAGCGGCGGACGGGUGAGUAAUGCUUAGGAAUCUGCCAUUUAGUGGGGGACGACAUUCCGAAAGGAAUGCUAAUACCGCAUACGUCCUACGGGAGAAAGCAGGGGAUCUUCGGACCUUGCGCUAAAUGAUGAGCCUAAGUCGGAUUAGCUAGUUGGUGGGGUAAAGGCCUACCAAGGCGACGAUCUGUAGCGGGUCUGAGAGGAUGAUCCGCCACACUGGGACUGAGACACGGCCCAGACUCCUACGGGAGGCAGCAGUGGGGAAUAUUGGACAAUGGGCGGAAGCCUGAUCCAGCCAUGCCGCGUGUGUGAAGAAGGCCUUUUGGUUGUAAAGCACUUUAAGCGAGGAGGAGGCUACUUAGAUUAAUACUCUAGGAUAGUGGACGUUACUCGCAGAAUAAGCACCGGCUAACUCUGUGUCAGCCGCCGCUGUAAAAC